GCUUUCCUUCGGGGUCGGGUGAAAGUCCCAACCGGCGGUGAUCGGAGCGAGCCGGACAAAACGGGCAACCGUAUGUCCGGCGCUCUCCGUCAGUCCGUGACCCGGAUUGAACGAAUUGUUCAAUGCGGUGGACCUGGUGAAAAUCCGGGACCGACAGUAUAGUCUGGAUGGGAGAAGGAGGAG
rnacentral:ncRNA from 2 species